rnacentral:tRNA from 1 species
GGGAAGGUGGCUCAGUGGUAGAGUGCUUGCCUUUCAUGCAUGAGAUCCUUGGUUCGAUUCCUCCACACCA